AUUGAACGCUGGCGGCAUGCCUUACACAUGCAAGUCGAACGAUAACAGGUCUUCGGAUGCUGACGAGUGGCGAACGGGUGAGUAAUACAUCGGAACGUGCCUAGUAGUGGGGGAUAACUACUCGAAAGAGUGGCUAAUACCGCAUGAGAUCUGCGGAUGAAAGCAGGGGAUCGCAAGACCUUGUGCUACUAGAGCGGCCGAUGGCAGAUUAGGUAGUUGGUGGGAUAAAAGCUUACCAAGCCGACGAUCUGUAGCUGGUCUGAGAGGACGAUCAGCCACACUGGGACUGAGACACGGCCCAGACUCCUACGGGAGGCAGCAGAGGGGAAUUUUGGACAAUGGGCGAAAGCCUGAUCCAGCAAUGCCGCGUGCAGGAUGAAGGCCUUCGGGUUGUAAACUGCUUUUGUACGGAACGAAAAGCCCCGGGUUAAUACCCUGGGGUCAUGACGGUACCGUAAGAAUAAGCACCGGCUAACUACGUGCCAGCCGCCGCAGUAA
rnacentral:rRNA from 1 species